CUGGAGAGUUUGAUCCUGGCUCAGCGCGAACGCUGUCGGCGUGCCUAACACAUGCAAGUCGUGGGGCAGCAGGCCCGGGUACCGUUUCACAGCGGUACCCGGGUGCUGGCGACCG
rnacentral:rRNA from 1 species